UCUGGCAGGUUCCUAAGUCAUAGGACAGAAACGACAGAAAAGGCAUGAUGGUGAGGUCAGCCAAGGCUGGGAUCUCUGGUUGCUGGGGCCCCUUUGCCUGGUGCUGCCUGCAGCAUGGCCAGAAACUACUCUACAGCACAGGCUUCUACAGCACAGGCUUCUGAGGCUCAGCUCCAGGAUAGGCGCUAUUCCAGGCUAAACUCCUGACCACUCCUUGCCCCACUCAGUUCCAUCCAGACAGGGGAUUAGAAGCAGUUUGCUAGAAUGCCCUUUGGGUGUUGGAGGCUGUGAUAUUUUCUAAGGGUAAACUCAACUGCAGCAUGUGACGAGAGGCCAGUUGAGUGCCUUGGAGACCACAUCUCCCAGAAUACUCUAAGAGCACCAGGGACUACAAUUCCCAGAAUUCCCCGCCUUGCCAGCAGCACACACAGCUCCCAGCAUGCAAUGCCCUGGUGAUCUACAAAGGCUAUGGCUGCUCUGGGUCUGGUCCUGUUCACUUCUGGCGUCCCAGCCGUGACAGCACCACCGUUCUAAGUUCGGCGGCUCUGUGUUACAACUCCUAGGUCAAGCCGAGUCCAUCCAGUUAACUAGCCGAGUACCUGGGCCUUUCUGAGGCUGCUUCCCCAUUUGGUAGAUGGGUCCAAACCCACCAGCUUGUUGCAGUUGAAGGUAACGUGUGUGGAUCUCCCUACACUGAGGCCAGAGGGCAACAAACGUUUCUCCUUGGAACUCCUCUCCUUCCCUUCCUGUGAAUACCCAUGUGGUGUCCUUGAUCAAAGUUGCUACAGAUUGUUACCUGAUGGGCAGAACACUAGGAGUGACCAAGGUGAAGGUCAUUGCUUGCACAUAUGCCCACUCACUUAUUCAUUGCGACACAGUGAGCCCAGAGACCACUGGCCAUAGAGCUUGUCCUAGGAUAAUUGCCCCCUCUUCCCCAGGUCCAGUAGUCAUGCCGGGCAGCCUGAACCCCAGGGCUGCCGGGUGUGGACCACCUCAGCCCUAACAUAGUACCUGGCACAUGCUAGAUUCUUAGUAAGCUAAAUGUCUGAGAUUCUUCAGGAGGCAAUCUAGGGGAGACAAGAAGGGUCUGGGCCCACAGGGCCUCUCCCUAGCAGCUUGGGACUUUAAAGGGAUUCCCUCCCCCCAGUUAACAUGGCAUCAGAUGGCCCUGAUCUGCUGACCCAAUGUUCCCCUUCCCCCUACUUCAGCAAUAGCUGUGAACUGUGUGUGGCAUUUGGCCUGGCUUCAUUACGCAGGGAGCUUCGCGGUGGCUCAUCUCUUCUGAACACCCAAACCCAGCUCCUUGGUGCCAUGCUGCAGGCUGCCAACCCUGGGGCUGACCCUGGAAAUUCCAGUGAGUCCCCUUCAGGGCUUCAGAUGGUUUGCAUCACACCUCCUGUCCCCCGCUCCUCGGAACAAUUUCCCCACACCCAUACCCAGGCUGCUGAUUGGCCAAUUACGGAGGAAUUACAUCACGGAUUAUGUUUUGCGCAGGCCUGCCCCGCCCAUCCUUGGUAGUGACCGAGGCCAAGUCACCAGGCAGAACAAAGCACAUCUCUUCCCACCUCACUUCUCUCCUAAUUGAAAACAAUUCAGAAAUCACUGAGCAGUUUGGCAUGAGGACAAUUUCUGGUAUAGAGAGAGGCGGCAGAGAGCAGGCAGUUGGGAUGCCCGUGGUGGCGAGGGAGGGAACUGAUUGGUGGGCCGUGCCAGGGCGAGGCCGGGGGGGCCUUACGUGUCGUAGAGCACAAUGGUGCGGGAGCCAUUGCAGUUGUUGACGAUGCAGCAAGAGCAUGGGGUUUCCCCUCUGCCCUGCCAGGCCACCUGAGACACAUCCACGCCCCGCUGCCUGAAGUCGGCCACCAGGAAGCUUGAGGUGGAGCCCGAGCCAAGGGAAGGGCAAGGAGACACAAAUUAGAGCCUACGAGUGGCCUGGGCCUCCCUCAGGGUUGAGGAGGAAUGCCGGAGCAGGGGUGCCUCUCUGAGAAGAAGGGUCCCGUUCCGGGAGUUCGGUGAUGGCGGCGGCGGCGGCUGGCAAGGUGCGGACAGGCGUACAAACCUGUAGGCAUGGAGGAUGGUGCGGCUACCACUGGCCUCGUUGAUGAUGACUGUGGAGAUGGGGACAGAGCCCGUGGUCUGAAAGACUGUGUAGCGUAGGUCCACAGAAUAGCGGCGGAGGUCAUCCAGGACAAAACUGCCGAGACGGAGUAACCCAGGGGAGGUGUAGUUCGAUAGGGUUUGGGGACUGGAGGGAGGCGGCAGGGACUCCGGCUGCAAAGGGUUUGGGGACUGGAGGGAGGCGGCAGGGACUCCGGCUGCAAAGGGUUUGGGGACUGGAGGGAGGCGGCAGGGACUCUGGCUGCAAGCAGAGGGGGCUAGGAGGGAGCCGGGAAUCACCGUGCUGUCAGAGGCUAUGCCAGGGGGCAGGAGAGGCAGGGGCACAGAGCCUGGAACUCAGGGAGAGAAACACUAAGGGACGUUCUUUUAGGUCCUGGCUGAGGUAAACUCCAACCCGGAUCCUGUCCUUCAGUCUGACUCAAGCCAGAAAGGACGUGCUCAGUGAACCCAGAUGGGGUAGAUCUGGGGGCCUGGAGCACGUGCCCUGCUUGAACGAAGCAGGUAUCUCAGAGGAGGGCUCCACUAACUCAGGUGACCUCCUCCUCAGUUACAAAGACCCACCUCUCCCCCAGGCAGAGGGACCUUCAGCCUCCACCUUGAUUGCUGGAUACCAAGAGCCUCUUCCCAAAGGUGUCAAAUCUGCUACCUACUCCUGUCCUUGUAACAACUCAGGUCAAAAUAAGUAAGACAGGGAGCAAACCUGUACGCUGUAACCAAUGUAGGAGUUAUGUGGAGGGAAAGCUAACUUUUACCAUGUCAAGGUUAAGGGGUGCCUGGGUGGCUCAGUCAGUUAAACAUCCGGCCCUUGGCUUCAGCUCAGGUCACAAUCUCGUGGUUUCGUGGGUUCAAGUCCCAUGUCGGGCUCUGCGCUGGCAGUGCUGAGCCU